UUAAUCAUAGCUAAAAUAAGCAAUAUUAUUGUUAAUAAUAAGAUAAGGGAAACCCUUUGAUUAAG
rnacentral:tRNA from 1 species